rnacentral:lncRNA from 1 species
GUGAGUCAAAUCAAAUCUCUCUCAGAGAAUUAGUUGCUAUUCUUUUGUUCUCUAUUUUUCUGACUUGAGCGUCGGAGGAUCCUCGCUGGAGUCACAACCUCCAAUUUGAAAUUUAUUUUGCAGGUCACUCCAACAUUGGCAUCCCUGCACGAGGACCAGACAUUUGUCUACCGACCUCAACUGUCCAUCUUCUUACCUCAAUCGAUUUAAGUAGCAACAG